GUCGAACGGAAAGGCCCUGCUUGCAGGGUACUCGAGUGGCGAACGGGUGAGUAACACGUGGGUGAUCUGCCCUGCACUUCGGGAUAAGCCUGGGAAACUGGGUCUAAUACCGGAUAGGAGCCAUUUUUAGUGUGAUGGUUGGAAAGUUUUUUCGGUGUAGGAUGAGCUCGCGGCCUAUCAGCUUGUUGGUGGGGUAAUGGCCUACCAAGGCGGCGACGGGUAGCCGGCCUGAGAGGGUGGACGGCCACAUUGGGACUGAGAUACGGCCCAGACUCCUACGGGAGGCAGCAGUGGGGAAUAUUGCACAAUGGGCGCAAGCCUGAUGCAGCGACGCCGCGUGGGGGAUGACGGCCUUCGGGUUGUAAACUCCUUUCGCUAGGGAUGAAGCUUUUUGUGACGGUACCUAGAUAAGAAGCACCGGCUAACUACGUGCCAGCAGCCGCGGUAAUACGUAGGGUGCGAGCGUUGUCCGGAAUUACUGGGCGUAAAGGGCUCGUAGGUGGUUUGUCGCGUCGUCUGUGAAAUUCCGGGGCUUAACUCCGGGCGUGCAGGCGAUACGGGCAUAACCUGAGUACUGUAGGGGUAACUGGAAUUCCUGGUGUAGCGGUGAAAUGCGCAGAUAUCAGGAGGAACACCGAUGGCGAAGGCAGGUUACUGGGCAGUUACUGACGCUGAGGAGCGAAA
rnacentral:rRNA from 1 species